rnacentral:rRNA from 1 species
UACGUAGGGUGCAAGCGUUGUUCGGAAUCAUUGGGCGUAAAGCGCGUGUAGGUGGCUUACCAAGUCGAUUGUGAAAGCCCUCGGCUCAACCGGGGAAGUGCAGUCGAAACUGGUAGGCUCGAGAACGGUAGAGGAAGGUGGGAAUUCCUAGUGUAGAGGUGAAAUUCGUAGAUAUUAGGAGGAAUACCUGUGGCGAAGGCGGCCUUCUGGGCCGUUCUGACACUGAGACGCGAAAGCGUG